GCGAGAGAAAGAGAGAGCUUACACCAAUCGGAGGAUAAUAGCCACACAAUUCUUCUCAGCUAUGAGUUCUCUAACUUUCUAUUACAUUUCUCUACUCAAUAGAAUUUCUGCUCCACUUAAAAUGUAAUAGAAUUUGGAAACAUCAAAUGGUAGAUGGAGUUCAACAACAAUGAUGGACAGUGGAAUCAACAUUGAUUAAAUCAGCCAUCGGAUGUCGUGAAUCCCAACAAAAAGUCAAAGAUACACUUGGAAAUAAACCCUUUCCGGAGCCACUAACACCUUUUAUGUUUCUAUCUCCCAAGAAAUUCUGCAAUUACCUCUAAAUUUCUAACCAAUUUGAACCCAUUUUUCUUCUGAUGUUGAUCUUUAAGUCUGUCUUUUGUCAGGGUGCUCAUUUUUUUUCGUGUAACGAGGAAGGGUUUGUUCUUCAGAGUAUUUAUUAGGGAUGCGAGUUACGACUGCUA
rnacentral:lncRNA from 1 species